UACGAAGGGGGCUAGCGUUGUUCGGAAUUACUGGGCGUAAAGGGCUCGUAGGCGGUUUGUCGCGUCGGGAGUGAAAACCUCGGGCUUAACUCGGGGCUUGCUUUCGAUACGGGCAGACUGGAGGUAUGCAGGGGAGAACGGAAUUCCUGGUGUAGCGGUGAAAUGCGCAGAUAUCAGGAGGAACACCGGUGGCGAAGGCGGUUCUCUGGGCAUGACCUGACGCUGAGGAGCGAAAGUGUGGGGAGCGAACAGG
rnacentral:rRNA from 1 species